CAGAAGUUUUUCUUGUUUCAAAGGGGGGCGUGACCAGAAAAAAUUUAGAACCACUGCCAUAACCCAAACGUCCUUAUGGGUCAGCUGGCUUGAAUUUACAUUUAGAAUGAGGAGGAAUAACGGCAAAUUCGCGGUUGUGUUCGAGACAUUUCACGCCUGAAUUGCUGAAAUGAUCACUAAUGAAUACAAUGCUUUGGAUGCUCCUGGAGUUUAUUUCUAUUUUUGAAUGCAGUUAUCUUGGGAUGCACAGCAUGAGGCAUGACACUGAUGGACCAAAUUUAGUGCUUAUAAUAACCAACAGACAGUUUUGUCACAGCUUGAUAAAGACAGCACAGCACAUGGUUACGUUUUUGCUAAAUGUUGAGCAAGUCCAUAAUCUCUACCAGAACAUGCAAGUGUGACCAACUGAAGAGGUCUACAAUUAAAACGCAGCUACACUAUGUCUUCCAGCUGUGCUCGGUGAGGAUACUUCUCCACUUCUCCACUAAGCACCUGGAAGUCUUCAUGGGAUUCUGACAGAAACUGAGUCUGUGAAGCACCACUCACGUUAAGUUCAUUCAGGCCAAGACCUCAAGGCUCUGUGUUGUUUGCAUGUGUUUGUUUUUCUGGGGUGCGGGGAGGUACAAGGAUAUGCAUUUGUGUGUGCAUGUGUAUGUGUAUAUGUGUAUUUUCAUACAUGGAAGCCACUGUGCUGAGCAUGGAGAAACUGCAAACGUAGUGCCUGUAUGCUGCUCACUAUCCUUCUCUGGUGGCCAAUCAGAGACACUCCGAUUCUUCUCACAUCACUGUUGAGAAAAGAAUGGCUGUGAGACAUCUGAAACUGUGUAAUAAAACUGGCCAAUUCAAGAGAUGUUUCAUUCACAGAAUAAAUGUAAUAUACUAAAAUAUCAUACAAACAAUUAUAUCUGAUGAGUUAAAACUAAUAUAUAUAUACAAGUUUCUGAAUUUUCAUUUAUAGAAUUGUCUUAACUGAAAAGAGCUUUAACCACUCCUAAGGGUGACUUACAGUAGAACAGUGGUUUUCAACUCGUUUUGCUUCAGGACCCAGAUAUACUAGACAUCAAGUGGUGACCCCACAUAGUACAAAAACUGUUUAUCAUACAAAAGUAAACAAAAAUGGUCUUAAAAUCAAAAACCGAAAUGUAUGAAUUGAUUUAUUAUUAGUUUCUAAAUAUGUCUUUAAUUUUGAUGGUUUCAUACUCUCAGCAGCCACUAAUUAACUGCACAAAACCAUGCUUAUCCUCAUUGGGAUUAUGGCAAUAUAGAUAUUAGAGUCUGGCCUUUAAGUAUCUCUCCCUCUCUUUGUGAUUCCUUCCUCCUUACGCCUGUUUGCAAUCAGUCAUUAGUGUGGAGGUAAGGUACACGCCUGUUUUGGUUUCUGUUCUUGUUGAAGUGUUUUGUUAGUGUCACUGACCAGUGUGUUUUUAACAAUUUGAAUGCUGGAGUAUAUGUAUAUGUGAAGUCUGCUCUCCUGCCACUACUUAGGCAACUUGUGUACUUAUGGUGCAUUCCAUUUGUACUCGGAAGUUGGAAAUUCUGAGUUCCCAGUAGGAACUUUUAUCUGGAACACCCCCUCAGGUCGGAGUUCCGACUCGGAAACUUGGAGGAACCGCAACAACCCCGACUUCAGAAUCCAAAAUGGCUGCUCAGCGCAUCUACAGUGGACUUCAUAUUUGUUCUGUAGUUGUUUGUAUUCCAAAAGAGCAAGCAUAACAAAGGUUUGCCUGGACGUGUCCAUCUUGGUUUUUCGACUUGUGUACUGGAACGCAGUCAACUCGGGUGUGACAUCAUUCCCAGCUCCGACAUCUGACUUACGAGUUUGAGUGGAGUCAUCAGUUGGAGAGACUAGUCCCCUGGCGAUGGUUGCUUUUAUUGCACACUUUAUUUGUUUUUGUUUUUUUGGUUUGAUUGACAAUGUUACAUGGUGUGUUUUGCCAUGUAUGCACGUGUGGGGUGCUAGUCUGUAGCACAUCCUACAAGUCUGUUUCUACCCGGUAAGACUCUGCUCUGUUUUUAGUAGUUAAAUCUGGUUAUUUUAUUCUUGUGGCAACUUCUAUCCUUUUGGAAUCAUCAAAUAAUGAUUGUGAUAGAAUUUGUUUUUUCCACAGACUUGUCAAUUCCCUUUUGUUUAAUAAAGUUAUGAUUUGAGUUGGAACUCUUGUCUCAGCCUAUUAAUACACAAAUGAACAUGUGUGACCUUUUGGUUGGUGUAAACCUAAAUAUUUCCCUGGGUGCAAUUCCCAGGAUGGUGAGGAUCCUGUUAAACUGUAUUUCCAAUUUCAAAAUGAUUUUAGCAGUAAUUGUAAUUGUUGUUACCAAGAGCUGUUUGGGCCUUUUUCGACUUACCUUCUGUUUUGCAAGUGCCUGGUUUAGUUGUGCAGGCACUGCAACAGUGCCAUCUUUCUGUCCCAGGAACAGGAGAGUAAAGUCUGACCAAUUGCUUACGCCAGUCAUGGUCACAGGCACACCGAGCAAAAUAUGAACAACUACAGUUCUAUAAAGGUGGAGCUUCUGGCCCUUAAGUGGGCAAUGACUGAAAGAUUUUGAGACUACUUGCUUGGGCACAAGUGCAUCAUUUAUACUGACAAAAACUCUCUCAGUCACCUCUCUUCUGCUAAGUUGGGAGCCAUGGAACAAAGAUGCGGAGCCCAGCUCACUACCUUCGAUUUUGAGAUCAAGUAUCGGUCAGGUAAAGUUAUUCAUAACACAGAUUUGCUCUCUCACCAAUACUGUCCUGAUUGUAGUAUGGUGGAGAACAUACUUCCUAGAACCUCCAUUCCCAUGUUCCUGAAGCAAGCUCUUGGCAGUGGGCUGAUGGUUCAGGUGAUGCAAGGUGUUAUUUCUCUUUUGCUAUGCCUUUCGGAUUCAGAGCUGAUUGCUUUGCAGGAAUCUAAUCCAGUCAUUGGAGAGGCAUUAGUGUUCUGAAAGCAGACGAGGCACCCUGUGCCAGAGGUGCGGCAGCUUUCCCAUCCA